rnacentral:rRNA from 1 species
ACUCCUACGGGAGGCAGCAGUGGGGAAUAUUGGUCAAUGGGCGCAAGCCUGAACCAGCCAUGCCGCGUGCAGGAAGACUGCCUUAUGGGUUGUAAACUGCUUUUAUAUGGGAAGAAACCCCUCUACGUGUAGAGGCUUGACGGUACCAUAAGAAUAAGCACCGGCUAACUCCGUGCCAGCAGCCGCGGUAAUACGGAGGGUGCAAGCGUUAUCCGGAAUCAUUGGGUUUAAAGGGUCCGCAGGCGGUCAAUUAAGUCAGAGGUGAAAUCCUAUAGCUUAACUAUAGAACUGCCUUUGAUACUGGUUGACUUGAGUUAUACGGAAGUAGGUAGAAUGUGUAGUGUAGCGGUGAAAUGCAUAGAUAUUACACAGAAUACCGAUUGCGAAGGCAGCCUACUACGUAUAUACUGACGCUCAUGGACGAAAGCGUGGGAGCGAACAGGAUUAGAUACCCUGGUAGCGACUG